UACGUAGGGUGCGAGCGUUAAUCGGAAUUACUGGGCGUAAAGCGUGCGCAGGCGGCGCCGCAAGUCAGGCGUGAAAUCCCCGAGCUUAACUUGGGAAUGGCGCUUGAAACUACGGUGCUGGAGUGUGGCAGAGGGAGGUGGAAUUCCACGUGUAGCGGUGAAAUGCGUAGAGAUGUGGAGGAACACCGAUGGCGAAGGCGGGUCUCUGGGCAGUAACUGACGCUGAGGAGCGAAAGCGUGGGGAGCGAACAGG
rnacentral:rRNA from 1 species